rnacentral:rRNA from 1 species
CCUACGGGUGGCAGCAGUGGGGAAUCUUGCGCAAUGGGCGAAAGCCUGACGCAGCCAUGCCGCGUGGAUGAUGAAGGUCUUAGGAUUGUAAAAUCCUUUCACCGGGGACGAUAAUGACGGUACCCGGAGAAGAAGCCCCGGCUAACUUCGUGCCAGCAGCCGCGGUAAUACGAAGGGGGCUAGCGUUGCUCGGAAUUACUGGGCGUAAAGGGCGCGUAGGCGGACAGUUAAGUUGGGGGUGAAAGCCCGGGGCUCAACCUCGGAAAUGCCUUCAAUACUGGCUGUCUUGAGUACGGGAGAGGUGAGUGGAACUCCGAGUGUAGAGGUGAAAUUCGUAGAUAUUCGGAAGAACACCAGUGGCGAAGGCGACUCACUGGCCCGUUACUGACGCUGAGGCGCGAAAGCGUGGGGAGCAAACAGGAUUAGAUACCCAAGUAGUC